rnacentral:lncRNA from 1 species
AGUGUUUGUCUAGUCCCGGGGUUUGGGAUCAGCAUCCCACAGCUUCAGACUUCUACGCCGCUUGCCAGACUGAAAAGGACUCCAACUACAUAAAAAUAAUUGCUUGGCAAGAAUGACAAGGGACCAACGCCGCGACGAUAUUAGUUGACAACUUUCACUCCCUCGGUUGCCACUCAGCCUGAAAAUCUUGCAGCUCUCCAAUAAAACGAAUAUACGAGCUCGUGGGGACCCCCAAUGAAUCUAAGAACUUUGAUUGGACUACAGCACCAUGUAAGACAAUCUUCUAUCCUGCAGUAAAUAUUUACAGCCUACAGGUUGUCGUUCAGCCACUUCGCAGCGCCAUUAACAAUGGACCUGAAAGAAUUCAACAUCUAGGUCAGAAUACAAGAGAUAACCCAAUCACAAAAAUGUCUGAUGAACUAAAUCAAUCAACAUUUUUUCCUCUCGAACUCAGCCAACCUUUUAUUUUUCUCGAACACAACUAACACAGUUAGGAUGGCUCAAAUUUCAACAGAGGUUAUGCAUCUGCAUUCAAAUCUCCCAUUACUACAGUGUAAUUUCCCCUUUUAAAGAAUACUCGGAAAUGUAAUGCAGUGACCAAAAAUAUAGUUCAUUACUACAAGAUUAAGUUGGGUUGGUUCAGAUUUCAAUAAAAGAGGCAUCUGCAUUCAACUUCCCAUUACUAUUUACUACACUAGACCGGACGGGGCGCUCCGCUGCGCCAGUUUCGAAGUGCGUGAAAGAACAGGUAAAGUGAUAAGUCGUUCAACAGCGAUCGGUGAACAGUAAUAUUCAGAGAUACAUCAGCCAACACGCGUGAAGCCACGGCCGCAGGCUGGAUAAUUUAAAAUGCAGGCGUGAAGAGAAAGGCGUUCAGAUUUUAAGAAACUUAAUUUGUAAUUUUCCCUUUUAAUAAAGGAGUACGUGAAAAUGUAACGGCUGCCAUAAACAACUAGGUAGUUUAUACUUUAUACCACCAGAAGUCCAGAACAGGGAAGUAUAGUACAAAACCUAUAUGCUCAAUGUAAUGAUUUUUUUUUCAGCGCGGUGUUACCUCAUUACCCUUUAGUUAAGAAAAAGAGACAAUACAAAACCUAUUUUUCAGCAGGAUGAACAGACAUAAUUAUCACGUGAUUUUUGGCAUUGUAGUGAAAUCAAAUCAAAGAAGUUACCCAGCAAAAUCUGUAAGUUUCUUCAACCAGUCACCCUCUGCUUCUUUAGAUUUGCUUGUAUCUUCUUGACUAGCACCAACUUCUUUCUCUUGAUGUAUGGCUGCAACAAAGAUAAAAAAUGUAAGGCUUCAAUUUUCUCUUAAGAAAAUCUCAUUCCACAUCAAGCGAUACCAACAAGACACCAACAAACUUCUCAUAGUAAAGAUCCAAAAUAGGAAUAAAUUCUUUGUUGUGGGGAGAGAAGAGAAUAAGAAACAGAGUGGUUAGCAUGUAUACCUUUUGGCUGGGCAGGUUUUGGCUUAGUGUCUGUUCGUGCAAAGCGACCAUUACUCAAAGAUGCAAGUUCCUCAAGUAAUUCUCUUUCACGCCCACUGCAAGAAACAGAAGAUUAGCAAUUAAGUAACACUAACCGAGAAAUUAUGUGGCUCACCAACUCAAGGGUAGUGGUAAAAGUAUUUAAAAAGGUAGGAUCAAGUCAGAAAACAUAUUUCUUUCACCUUAUGCGCUUCGGUAUUGCGACUUUAACAGUGAAGAGAUGAUCACCACGUAUAGACGGCUUAUUCAAUGAUGGAACUCCUUGCUUCGCUAAGACAAUUACAUCACCAGGUUGGAUACCUGGAGGUAUUCGAAGGUCACUGGUUCCAUCAACAGUUCUGACCUGCUCAUGAAAGAAAUUGAAAGGAACAGUUACACAGACCUAUAUAUUUUAUAUCAGCAAAACCAUUUCAAAGAAAUUUUCAUGUUUGAAGCAAACAUCUACCAACAAAGUCUUCUCUCAACCAUCCGUGUUAGUUGAAAAGGCACUAAACUUGUAUAAGUUUAAGCAAAUCAAUUUCGGCAGACUUCAUAUAUCAUAGAAAUUGCAAUCAACGUCGCCUUAAACCGCAAACACAUUGCUUCAACAAAUAUUGUGUUAAAGCAGGGAAAAAAGGGUCUCACAUAGACCUCAAACUGAAGGUUGCUGGUUGCAUCAGCAUUGAAAUAAAGUAAACAAGCCAUUUUUCCUAUUUCUAUAUAAAGAGCCAGUAGUGAAUCUCGUUGUUGAGAGCGUCCACGUCGUCCUUUUAUUGUUCAACGGAUGCGAUGCGGCUUCUUAUGUCUUCGCACAGUAGCUGACUAGCUGGCCUUUCAGCGACCCGAAAAGUCGCGAGCGUUUCCAGAUGAAGCAAAGGGACAGAAAAAAAGGUGUUUGUGUCGCCUGUGGUGGCGACGAGGCCCGCGAAGCGCCCACGCCCGUUCGACGUCCGAGACGUGGCGCCUGCUUGGACCGCGUCGCCACUCACCUGAAGAACCAAAAUGUUGUAGGACGUCUCGUGGACGGGCCUGACGCAGAAGACGGUGGUGCUCCCCGCGUCGCCGACGUCCUGGGCACGAAGCCCACGCGUCCGCCUCGGCGCUCGGCGAUAUUCACAAUGUUGGCGCUCCCGGGCGCCUCGCCCGAGGCCUGUAACAGGGUGGACACAUCCGCGGACCCGAUAGGGAGUCAGUGCAGCUUCGUGUCAUCAUAGUAGUCGACGAGGACAUGGAGGGAGAGCACUUGCCGCAGCGUCUCCCACGGGAGGCCGCACGCCUUCAGCGACGCAAUGUGGGUGUCGUCCACGGCGAGAAGCGUGACCGUGUUCCGGUUGUUGAUGUCGUCCUCGAGCCCCGUGGUUGUGAGCUUGCAACUAAACUCGACGAGGUCCCGAUGCCCAGAGAGGAUGGUGGUGAUGUUGUGCCGUUGUGCGAGCGACGGCAUGCCAGCACUGAAGUGGUCACUAGCGCCACUGUGGUGACGAAGAGGACGAGGGUUUACCAGGCACCGACAGUGAUCGUCAUUUCUAUGCUCGGACAUACGCCUCCGGGCGCUAGAUGUGGGGGUUUUUGGUUUGUUCGGACUCUGGAGUGCAGGAGGGAUAGACCAAACGACAUUAGUCCAAUCAACCAAGGCACACAACUGCCUGGUUUCCCCCAAGCAUCAAGAAAUCAUGGACAUGAAAUGGCCGGCUUUCUAUUCAGAACAAGAGACGCCACAUGACAUCGCGCGCGCAAGGGACACCGGACAUGCAUGCAUGGGCAUGGAAUGGCUUUUGCGUUUAGAGGCAGUCCUGGCCCAGUGGCCCUUCAUUACACAAUCUGAGAUCAUUGGAGUUACUAAGUUAGCUGCUCCCAAAGACUCAGAAUAGUAUGAAGCCGAAUCCACAAUUGGUGUUCAAAAUAACAUUGGAAACAAAAAAACUCAGUUCAAAUGCAUUAUCCUUUUGUACGUAUGCAUGUCUCAAACACCAUAUUUAAUUAUUUGUUUGCUAUAUUCUCAUAGACAAUUCGUGCUAAAGAAAGAUAUUUGUCUGCUAUUCAUGUUACUUGAUUAUAUAGAGAGACAUUAAAAGCAAGUUCUAAUAAUUGAACCUUUAUGUAUGCAUAUACAUUCAAUACAACAAGCAAUGAAUUUUAUGAAGAUUAAGCAACAUCAUAAAAAAGACCCACACGUUUUUUUGUAACGUCGCACCGCAUUUUUUUGUGGUCUCAAACACCAGUAUUUUGUUGACUCAAAAAAUUAUGCAUAUGGUUGAUUGUUUUGUGGCCACUAAGUCCAAUAUUUUGCAGCUUCAAUACAUGUAUAUAUCCACUCAUCUCUGAGCCCGCAACACCAUUGUAACAUAACAUUUAGAGUGAUCAUGAUGCUACGUUGUAAACUAAACUAUUCUACUACUAAACACAAUUGUCUAUUCAGAUAAUUCUAUCACUUCUAUGGGUGCGUAUCCACAUGUAUUAUAUUUCUAUAUGUUUGAAGCAACACUAUUUUAACUGUAUAUAUUCAUAGUCAACGACUCGCGCGAAGCGCAAGCAAGUUACUAGUAAGGAAUAUCAAGUUUUGUGUGUUUCUGUCCUCCAGUUAUAAGUGAAGUGGACAAGUUCCAGACAUUUGUUCUGCUCUAUGGGGAAAAAUAGUGGUUUACUGAACAAGGCAGUAAUUGACAACUGAAACUAACUAAAGAUCAUAACUGAAAAUCAUAGUGAGAAAGAUCUUACUUGCAUAACAGUGCCCAAAAUAGCUUCAAGAUAGCUUAUUGACACAGUUGAAUACAAGUUUAUACCAUCCCUCUUGAUAUCUGAUGGCUCCUCUAUAUCAAGGCAAACAAAGAGAUCUCCAGGAGGCCCACUGUUUUCAAAAGGAUGGAAUGAUUGGAUAUCCAUGCAAAGAGAUAUAUAGAUUGUGGAUGAUCAGAAAUUUGAACAAGAUAAAUUGCAUUCAAGCUAAAACAAGGCAGGAACACACUGGCUUAGAGAUAUGUGAAGAUACUUUUUGUCUUUUUCUAUGCUGCAGUUAUUGCAUAACUUCCUUUAAUCUUACAGCCACCUUGAAAGGUAAAUUAAUGCGUACACAACAUAAGCCACUCUACAUUCAUGUAUGCUAAUGAUUAUAGGCAUAGAGAUAUCUGAACCUGUUUUUUUAAGGUUUUUCUACACUGCAGUUGUAGCAUAACUGAUUCCAUCUAGGUGCUUUGCUUACCCUUUUGGUCCAGCAUCACCUUCCCCACGUACACGAAGAGUACUGCCUUUGCUCACUCCUGGAGGGAUUUUUACUUUGAUCUCCUUUCUGACACGGAUACGCCCCUCUCCAGAACAUUUCCUGCAAUACUCUGAAAUGACUUCGCCCUCUCCUGCACAAGUGGGGCAAAUAGAAACCUACAACAUAAAAAUAAAUAAAUAAUGUGACCAUCACCAAUUGCAACAGAAUCAAAUCGAACUAAAAUCAUUACAUAUAAAUUCAGGUGAUCCAAGGGCUAUAGGCAUAGUUCAUUUUUGGCUAAUGUUGAGACCUUGAGCUUGGCACCUUAAUCCUCUUUUUUUUUUCUCGAACGCGCAGGAACACCUUAAUACUCUUAUCAUCCUUGCUGCUUGGGAACUGUGGAAGCAUCAUAACAACUCUGUUUUUAGCAAUGCCGCUCAGUUAUUAUGGUGGUCAGACCAGUGAUUAAAGAAGGAACUGACUGGUGUGCUGCUAGGGUUGGGGAUCACAGGAACUGGGCCAUUGGGCUAUUCUAUCACCCCUGGUAAUUAGCACUGUGCUGUGGUCGUCCUUUUGUUGUCCAUAGUACACUUGUUUUAAGUUCCUAGAAACCAUGUGUAUGUUGUUAUUGUGGUGUGACUGUGUUGUGUUUCGGUGUUUCUUCUCUGUGCCUUUUUUCAUCUUCAAUCAAAUGAUACAUAGCUUUCCUGCGCGUUCGAGAAAAGCAGACAUUGAGCCUCCACAGUCAUGUAGGAAACAUAAUUUAAAUGCUAAUGCUAGGACACUCCGCACAAACAAGCAGCAUGAAAGCUGUCAUAUUAUUGCAACCAUGUCUUCACUGUAAAUCUCACGAAUAAUAUUAUGAAGCCAAACAAGCUACAUAGUAAUGCUCCAUGGUUACCUGGGAGAACAGACCAAAUGGUGUUUGCUCAGUUCGCAUUACUUGCCCUCGCCCACCACAUGUGGAACAUAUUCUCAUCUUGGAGCCAGCCUUUGAUCCAGAACCACCACAUGUAUCACAUGUUUCCAAAUGAGAUAAUAUAAUAUCUUUCUCUGUUCCAAAUAUCGCCUCUGUGAACCCCAGAAUCACAUCAUAUCUGAUCAAAUAAAUUUGUGUCAAUUUAGGAAUCAUGUAAGUGUUCUGUUCUAGAGCACAAAACAAACAAUGUAGCAGAACUAGCACUAAUAGCAGUAAUUGAUAUAUUUAUAGGGUUGCAAAUCAUACACAAAAAAGAUAGAAUGAUAGAUACAGGCAGACAAACUAACUACACAGCAUUAGAAAAGGCAUGCGCGAACAGACAGCUCCCCGACCUAAACCCCACUUCACCCACCCAGUUACUGGUUUUGGCCCACAUAAUUGAAACUAUCAAUUUUGUUUUAUUUUCAUUAGUCUAGAAUUCUAGAAGUAUUUGACAAGAUGUGUUGUUUGCAGUCUUGCAGAAAAAACUUUAUCAUACUCCAAGUGUAUAGGAAAAAACAGUAGUAGACUAGUAGUUGCAAUCGUGUGGCUACCAGAAUUCAAAAAUCAGCAGGGGACAAACAAAUAUCUCAAAAAAUUAUCAUAAGGAUGAAAUGAAGGAUACAAAUUGAGUUUAUCAUACUUUUACCAAGCAGCCUAUUAUUCUGGGGAUCCAAACAUUUUGCUUAUGCCAGUACGGCAGUACCAAAUAAUGAAAGUGUAUGCUGCAUAUUACAUUCAGGCAAAUAACACUGCAUAUUUGAGGUUUUACAAAUACUAACUAUAACAAUUAGCAGUGAAAUAAAAAAUAGAUUUGCAAAAAAACGAAAAAGAAACACAACUGAUCAAAGUGCCCAUGUGUCAUCUCACGUCAACAUGUCCUGCAAGUGGCGACAAACCUGAUGUCUUCACCCUGUAUAGCAGUGCUUCGCCUGCUUGUCCUAAACGCGCUCUGGUCCAUGCCAGAAAAACCACCCAUGCUUGCUCCAAAAAAUGUCUCAAACAGAUCAAAUGGAUUGGUCUGCAUCGAAGAAAAGAUCAAUGAAAACAAAGAAAACUUGGUUAACAAAAAAGAUCGCAAGAUCUAAUAACACUUAGUAUCCUCAAGGCUCGAGCUAAAGAACUUGAAUGAAUAUAGAUAUAAUCACGCUGAAAGAAUGUAGCAGUCAUGCCAGAUUCUUUUAGAGAGAGAGAGGGGAAAAGUAGUACUGUGUAAGCUCCACCGGAGCCUCCAACUGCACUCUUAACACCAGCUUCACCAUAUUGGUCAUACAACGCCCUCUUCUUUUCAUCUGACAGCACCUAAUGACAACGAACUUCAGUACUCCAAAAUAAUCAAAUGAAAUAAACAGAAAACCAGAAUUAGGUCUCUGAUUGAAUAAUACAUCAAAAAAUAAAGAGUACAUAACCUGGGUAAAAAAAUAUAGAACCAUUUGACAGAGGCAAUGCCAUCCAAUCCAACCGAAAAUUAGGUUGACUGGAUAAGAACAGUAGCACACACUAACCAUACUUAUAGAUGCAAAGCACAAGAAAUGUGGUCAAAUACUUUGCAGAUUUGAGUCCACAUAUAAAGUGGCACCAGACUAAUGAGAAAUUGAGAACAGAAUAAGAGCUUCUAACUUCAAAGUAGAUUAUAUCUAUUAUGUUAAAAUUGUUUAGCUAUUGAAUGGGAAAUUCACCAGUUUCAGAAAUAGUACCAUAUAUUCACAGCAAUGGUAUGUUUCUUGGUGAAUUAAUAAGUUGUGCAUUAAUUUUUUUAUCAUCGACGUCAGGAAGCCAGCUAUCAACUGAAACCUCAAGGGCCUGUUAUGAUGGGAGGUUUUCAGCCAAUUUUCAUAAUAGCCAAAAAGGUUAUUAUCUAAGCUUAAAUCAUACCAUUUGAUAAUCAGAAUAGUAGAUAGAACAUGUUAAGCAAAAAUAUUGGAUACCUCAUACUUGUUAAAAAACUGCAUACCUCAUAUGCUGCACUUAUCUCUUUAAACUUUUCAGUCGCUCCAGGCUCCUUAUUGACAUCAGGAUGAUACUAAAGACAGAGAGAGAGAAAAAUGUUAUGAUUUAUCUCCCAGAAGAAACUGAAUCAAUAGUAUAGUAUGUACUGAGAGCAUCCAAUGAUCAAAAUACUAGAGACAAAGCAAAACUUUUCAAUUGGUAGAUUGAAAGAUAAACAGACAGUCAGCUACGAAUCAAAAGAUUGAGUGCCUGCUAAGUGGGGCAUUUUAGGUCCAAUAACAUAAUCUAUGGAGUAGAUAAAAUGCUCGGGUUGAAAACAGGGUUGUUGUAGGCUAAUAAGGACGUUGCUCUAGCUUCAGCCUUAACAAGGUUAAACAAAGGAGAACAUGGGUAGGUAUGGCAAUAUGCACAAGAAUCUUUAUAGUGGAGGCCUAGCCUUCUGCAAAAUCACAUUUCAUCAACAAAUCUGCUAAAGUUACAAGUCCUCCUAUGCAACUUUGAUGAUUCCAAAAAUAUAAGGUAUAAGUGAUACAAAGAUUGCAUAUGUGAGUCUUUUCCAAAUAUUAGCUCAGAGUAGUGUAAAGCUCUAGGCUCCAAGUGAUGACUAACAACAAUCAACAAAGGCACGGGCAGAUCGUGAAUGGCACAAAGAUGCCAGUGGGGACCAGGAUGGAGCUUUUAUGUAUGUAGAAGCAAUCAGAAAGAAUCUUAUUCAAUGAAGGGAAAUAAGAACUGUGAUAUCAACUAAACUGUUGAAACCCACACUAAUUGAAAACAUUAUGGUGGAAUGGCGUAAUUCUAGAUGCUGUUAAGAAAAUGUUACAUCGUGAGCACAGGACUAAACUACAAUUAUGGGUUUCAAUUGUCUCCACACAUGGAAUGAUACAUAAUCCAUGUACAAUGCAUAGUUGACUUGUUUCAUUGGUUGGACUGGUUUAUAUUUACUUCUAUAAAUUUUACAGUGCGUGUCUGAAGGUACUAAAUAGCGUAUAGCGGGCUUGUAGCAGUUUAGUAUCGAGGUAGCAGAUCGCAGAUAGCGGGUGCUAUGGCGGAUUCUAAGUUCCAAUAGCGGUAUAUAACAAUUACACAUAAAUUUAUGUAUAUAUAUCAUGAAUAAUAAAUAUAAAUAGACAUUCAAUUAAUUAUACUUAAAUAAUUGAUGUCUAAUACAUAGUUUUAAUUAAGAAAAAGAAGCAUGAUGUUCAACAUAUUACAUACAUAAGUCAUCACAUAUUAGAGUUUGUAAAGAAAUAGCUUAUGAGAGACAUAAAAUACUUAUAAGAUCGUGAUGUGUUAUCAUUGUCAAAAGUAGCAACCUCAAUAGUCUUAUAAAAAGGGCGUACCCAGUGCCGUAGGCUUCCCGCACUGUACGGGGUCUGGGGAAGGGUAUCUUUAAGCGUCAAGCCUUACCCGCAUAAUAUGGAGAGGCUGGGGCUCGAACCCGGGACCUUCCGGUUACAGACGGUAGGCUCUACCGCUGCACCAGGCCCGUAACCUCAAUAGUCUUAUGAUAGUUAAAAUAGGCUAGGGUUAUUUGCUGCAUGUCGUAACAUGCUAUUGCCGACGCUACAAAGAACUACGGAAUGCUAUAGCGACCUGCUACCUCAAAUAGUGGCUGCUAAGUUCCAACUUGCUAUAUCUAAACUGCUACGUCGUAGACUCGUAGAGGUAGCGGUAAGAGACCCCUACCACUGUUGCGGUCGUUACCAACACUAUUUAGUACACACAAAAAAACUAGCAAGGAAGCAUGUUAGCAGGCAUUCAGGCUUCAAAUAUUUAGGUAUUAAAAGCAUGCAGAAACUAUAGCUAAGAGCAUUGCAUAAAAACAACACUCCAAAUGCAAAAACAUGGAUGAGCAAGCAAAGUAAGCAACCGGUCAUUAGAAAUGAGAAAAUACCCAUGAGCCAGAACAUUGGUUAGGUGAUUAGACUAGGAUUUACAAUGCAAUGGUGAAACUCCAAAACUACCGGUGGCAACCAACUAGGAAAUUCAGACCCAUUGAAGUAUCCAUGUAUCUCUUACUGGAGCAAUGAAGUACUAGGUGAAUGUCAAAUCCCUGCAACUGCAUGCAGGUACCCUGGCCUUAACCCCUUUAGCACGUAAUACAUCAUUGAAAAACAAUAAUAUGGGUUUCAGAAAGGGGAAAAGAAAAGGCCUUCCAGAUUGGAUAGGAUAGAGUUAUAUGAUCUAUCCACACUUCCCAAUAUCAUAAUACCGGUCCCACUAUGCUAACAACUUGUUAUUGGCACGAACUCCAGGCAUGGCAUUAAUCUCAAAGAAAUAUGAUGAGUGCUACACAGCUGCCCAGUGAAACGAGAAAUGGUGGGGUUGAACGGGAGGGGGCAAGCGUCGAGCACCUGGCGCGCGAGCUUCCGGUACGCGGCCUUGAUGUCUCUGUUACUGGCGGCGCGCGGCACGCCCAGCGUCGCGUAGUAGUCGGCCGACGCCCUGACCACAAGACCCCCUCCGCGGCGGCGCCGAGGCGCAGCGCACGCGAGCCGUUGGCCGCCGCCGCUCCUUCCGGCCGCGGCGUGGUGGAGCCCACGAGGAGCGAACGCGGCGGCAGUUGUGGCGCGGGAGGAAUAGGGCAGCGACGUAUUGGAGGGCGCGAACGGGAGCAUGGACGUGGGCGCCAUGAGUGAACCUUGUGGGUUCUGGUGCCGCUGGUCGGCUCGGCAGAUAGUAAUCGGGAUGCAUGGUCCGUGUCGCGCGAGCGGAGGGCAGUUUUUAGGGAUGGAAGGAAGAAGACACGGUGGUGGAUAGAACAGUGUGGGUCCACCUGUCAUUGUUACCUAGUUUGUUUAAAUAAAAAUGCAGAAAUUGUUAGAGAAAAUACAAGAUGAAGUGACACAUGGCCGUCACUCUAAUUCUGCCCGCUUGACGCACUUGUUUCUCCUCCAUGUUGCUAGCUGUCUUGAGCCGUAUCAUCUAUAUAUCUUUUUUCUAUCAUUUAUAUUCUUCUCCAAAAAAAUCCUUUCUUUAUAUCUUAUUUCUUUCCAACAACAUUUUAUAUCUCAUUCUCUAUAUGUCAAAUACACAUUAGAAAUAUAUUUUUGUCGGGCCUUCGAGUACGCGAGUCAUUGAGAGCGGAGCGGUCUAAACGAACCGCACAUGAUAUAUCUGAUGUCCUCCGCCACGACCAUGAGGUGAACAUCGGGCCGACCCCCAAGAGUCGGACAAGGCAAAAACAUGAGAGGCGGAUCGAUCGAGCCAGACAAAGUCUCACGAGGUCUGGUCGAGUAUGCGCGGAGUAAUCGUACUGCUGACCCAUAUCUUCUCCUCGCUAUUGCUCUAGCCGAUAUAGUAUGGCAAUGGUGUGACUAAUCCUUUUUCGGUCAAGUCCCACGCUCCUUUGAAAUCGAGUCAAGUAGAGAACCUGCGACUCUCGUACAAGAAACAGAGGAAGACCUGGCAAGCGAACUAUGGGGUACGAGGGUUGACAAGAAGUGAAGGGUACGACGAAAUUUCCAUGGCAUAUGCCCAUCCUGGGAGCUUAUGUCGCCAUUGCGGACGACACUAUGCUACCGACUCUGGGAUACACCUAGUCUAGGUCAAGUAUCUUCAAGGGUACAGAGCACUGUACCUACGUAAGUAGCGCGGAAGCACCUUAACCAAAGUAUGUCGGCAAGUACGAAGCAUAGUCCCCGUGCACUACAGUGCAGGAUCUCACCGACAGAAGACCAUUUUUAUCUUUCUAUGUACUCCCACACGAAAGAUCCUUAUAUGAGGCUCUUCCUUGAGCUAUAUAUAGAAGCAAGGACCGGCCUCAGUGGGAAAGAAAACUUUUUUAGAGAGAGAACUCACACGUGAACAAGUAAGGGAUAUAGAUGGCUUUGACUCAAUCUAGACCACCAUACACACACACUAGAGACUUUGGAGCACUUUCCCUCUCUUGAUUGUUUGUAACUCUCUACUACAAGUAAUUUGGUGCGAGUAGUGCAAGCUAGUAAAGAUUGGAGUAGAUAUUCUACUCGAACAAAUAUAACUCUUGUAUCCACCUUAUACUUGUUUUAAUUUUAUUUAUAAUUGACAAAGUAUAAAAAUAGGUGAAGAAUAUAAUAGUAGCCUCUCUAUAUAUAAGAUGAAGUGUCCUCUAUAUCUAGAAGGGGCUUUAGAGAACGUCGUUAAAGGCUAAUUAUUGAUAGACCAAAUUAGCUACGAGUUGUAGAGACUCAAUUCAUUGUCAAAUCAUAUAAAUGGUGACUUGAAGCCACGAGAUAAAUCCAUGAUGUAGAAUUGGCUUGAGUUACAUGCACAAGAUAGUUGUACCGGUACAGUGAAUACAACGAAGUUGAAACCAUCUGGAAGAGAAAUUGAGAAAAUUACAUGCGAAUACAUAAAAUUUAAAUGGUUGAAUUAUAGAGUAAUCUUUGUACUUAAAAUUAUAGGUAUAUCAUAUUAUCAAGGGAUGCAACAUAUAGAGUUAUGAUACGUCGGCCAACAAUAGUAUACAGAUAUAUUUAUAAAAAAAAACAUACCAGCUUAAUUGAUCUGUGUCCAAAUUAUGAUUAUUAGAAUAAAAUUCAAUUCAAAGUAUCCAAACCAAACGGGGCCCUUAUCAAAAUCCUUGAAGACGUAUUUGCAACAUCCGAAUGUAUGAGUUUUCCUGAACGCUAACACGAGUAGUUGCCCACAUACAAAUAAAAAUCAUGUGACGGUCUCACCAUAAAUCCAAUAUGUUGAAUCCAAACGAUUUCUUAAACCACUUCUCCUUUCCUGGGCUAUAAGUUUGCAAACUGGCACUUUUCUCCCAUCCGCAAAGAUCAUCUAGGUCUACAUUAAACAGUCUUCAUCGUUUUAGCAUGAGUGCAUGACAAUGCCAUCCUACGUGCCACCAUAAGCUGGUGAAUGGUACAACCAUAAAUGCAAUGGAAGCAAAUCUUGUUCUUCGGUAAACAUCUGUCAUUCCAGGGCUUUAAUCGAGAUGGACGGCAAGCAUCUAACUUUGGCUCCAGUUCUGCAGUAUUUCUAGUCUGCUAAUAGAAUGUGGGUUGUGUCCCUUCUCUAGUAUCUUGUUUCCAGUAAAGCAUCAAGCAAUCCGAAAUCCAUGGCCUGCAAAUGACGAAACACAUGUAAUAGCUCAAAGGAGAGAUUUGAUAUAGUACUUUGUUCUAUAUAGGCAAGAGAAGUUAAUACCUCUGAAGAAGACAUGAACCGAUCCCUCUCUGUCCACUGCUGCACCAUGUCAAGUGGUUGCCCGGUGAAAGCAGCAAACAUUUUAUCAACUUUCUGCAAGCAGAAUGUCCAUGAACUUUAAUCAGACCUUACAAACCAAAAUAUACGGCCUAGUUAGUUUGUUUCUUUGCAUCACUGGCAGUGUGAGAGACAACGUGAUGGCAAAAAUACAUCAAUCAUUCACAAUUGCUGAAUGCUUACAUCACGAGCAUAGAUGGUUUCUCCAACCUGUCGCCUCACCUCCUCCACAUUACCCUGCACAUAAUUCAAUUGCUUGUAUCAAAAUAAAAUAAAAUAAAAGUACACUUAAACACACAUCAAAGAGGGGCAUGCAGCUAGAGGUGGUGCCAAAGAUGGCAAUUAUCAGACUAGCAAUUUGUCUGGCUAUUUGAACCAAAUAAGGAAGCUAACGGUCAUACCUCAGAUCCACCUUGAGGUUGAUGAAUCAUUACUCUAGCAUUUGGCAUUGCAUAGCGCAUUCCCUUCUCGCCACCUGCAAGGAUAAUUGCUGCUUGACUAGCAACAACACCAAAGCACACUGUCCCAACUUUGGGCUUUAUCUGCUUGUUAUAACAGAAAUGAAGUUUCAUGCAUCAGCAUAAGACAUCGGAAUGGAACUAGAAGAAAUGCCAUUUGUAUACGCUGAUGUAGAAAGGGGAAGAAUGGAUUGAAUCACCACACACCCAUUGAGGGUGGGGAGCCUGUUAUAUAUAGCCAAUAGGCAUGCAUGGAAGGUACAUGUAGGGAAGGCUAUUCCCUGUACAAGGAAACAGACCUAGGCUAUAGAUAGAAGGUAAUCCUAGUCUAUACAAGGCAGCUAGCCAAUCUAGGGGAUUACAAUCAAUUGCUAAUCAGGCUCUGAUUGAUCCUGAUAGAUAUAUAUCCUAAUACCCGCCCGCAGUCUGAGCGGGAGGAUCACGGACGCAAAGACUGUUCCGAAAUUCAGUGAAGAGCUGUACGGGCAGUCCCUUGGUCAUGAUGUCGGCGAACUGGUGUGUGGACGGAACAUGAAGAACACGGAACUGCCCCAAAGCUACCUUCUCACGGACGAAGUGGAUGUCGAUUUCGAUGUGCUUCGUGCGGCGGUGAUGGACUGGGUUGGCUACCAUGUACACAGCGCUCACAUUGUCACAGUAGACCACGGUCACACGGGGGAUGAAGAUGUGCAGCUCAUGUAUAAGCUGACGCAGCCAGCAGCACUCAGCAACCGCAUGGGCCACAGCACGGUACUCUGCUUCGGCGCUGGAGCGAGAGACAGUCGUCUGACGUUUGGACGACCAUGACACCAGAUUGUCGCCGAGGUAGACGCAGAAGCCGGAGGUGGAGCGACGCGUGUCGGGGCAGCCGGCCCAGUCGGCAUCGGAGUAGGCUGUGAGCUGAUCAACGGCGCCAGGACCCAAGUGCAGACCUGCGGACAGGGAGCCCUUGACAUAGCGCAGGAUGCGCUUGAUGAGCGCAAGAUGCGGCUCGCGAGGGUCGUGCAUGAAGAGGCAGACUUGCUGGACAGCAUAGGCCAGGUCCGGCCUGGUCAGAGUGAGGUACUGAAGAGCACCAGCGAGGCUCCGGUACUCCGAGGGUUUGGCGACUGGAGCGCCCUCGGAGGCAGACAACUUGGUCCGGGCAUCCACCGGAGUAGCUGUUGGGUGGCAUUCAGACAUGCCAGCGCGCUGGAGAAGAUCAACGGCGUACUGCCGCUGGGAGAGGAACAGCCCACUGUUGUCCCGUGUCACCGAGAUGCCGAGGAAGUGGUGAAGAUCCCCGAGGUCCGUCAUGGCAAAUUCCGACGAUAGGCGGGAGGUGACGUGCUGGAGAAGAGCCGGCGAUGAUGCAGUGAUGAUGAUGUCGUCGACGUAGAGGAGGAGGUAGGCCAUGGCGUCUCCAUUCUUGUAGAUGAACAAGGAGGCAUCUGUUUUGGAGGUGGUGAAGCCAAUACUGCGAAUGAAGCUGGAGAAGCGUUGAUUCCAAGCGCGUGGUGCCUGCUUAAGCCCAUACAGGGACUUCUGCAACAGACAGACAGAGUUAGGUGCAGCGGGGUCGACGAAUCCUUUCGGCUGCUCGCAGUAGACAGUCUCCUCGAGGUUGUCGUGGAGGAAGGCAUUCUUCACGUCGAGCUGCCGGAUGGGCCAGUCUCGGGACGCAGCAAUGCUGAGGACGGUGCGGAUCGUGGCCGGCUUGACGACCGGGCUGAAUGUUUCGUCGUAGUCGACGCCUUCCUCCUGGGAGAAGCCACGAACGACCCAGCGCGCCUUGUGCCGGGCGAGGGAGCCGUCAGAGUGGAGCUUGUGUUUGAACAGCCACUUGCCAGUGACAAUGUUCGCACCAGGCGGCCGGGGUACGAGGCGCCAACUGUCGUUGUCGAUCAAUGCCUUGUACUCGUCCGCCAUCGCAGCACGCCAAUUUGGAUCGGCCAGGGCACUGCGAUAGUUCGCCGGGAUUGGCGAGGCGACGGAGGCGGAGAAGCCGAAGCGCUGGACAGUGCGAAGGGAGCCGGUCUGUGAGCGUGUCACAGGCCGGUUCGCUGCAGUAGAGAGGAGCCGAGCUGCUGGAGCCGCUGGUGGCGAAGUUGGUGCAGCUGUUGUUGGCGCUGAAGGUGCAGCAGCCACAGGGGCCACCGCUGCGGUGACCGGUGCUGCUGGAGGCUGGGCGCGGCGGGUGUAGGUGUUGCCGAAGCGCUGACCAUCAGUCGGGGGAGCCGCCGGCUGCCCUGCUUGGGGCCCAUGAGCGCCCAGUUGUGGCCCGCCCGCAGGGUGAACCCGGGGGUCGAGCUGGAGUAUGGCCGGGUCCAGGAACACCUGGAGAUCAUCCUCGCUGCUGGCAGCGAGCGACGGAUGGGUGUUUGCAGGAGCCGUCGAGGAGAUGAGGUCCUGCAUCAGAAAAUCAAGUGACGACGGUAUGGAGGCCGCCGAUGGUGCAGCCGAGAAUGGGAACACGGACUCAUCAAAAAUAACAUGGCGCGAGAUAAUGAUGCGGCGAGUGGACAUGUCAAGGCAGCGAUAGCCCUUGUGAGAGGAUGGGUAUCCAAGGAAGACACAAGGAGUGGAACGAGGGGCGAGUUUGUGAGGGGAGGUGGCAGUGAGGUUCGGAUAGCAGAGGCAUCCGAAGAUGCGAAGGGAAGCGUAAUCAGGGAGUAGGCCGUGAAGAAUUUGGUAAGGUAUUUGAUUUUGUAUGGAGGAGGAGGGGCGCCUAUUGAGGAGGUAUGUUGCUGUUGUGAGGGCUUCAGCCCAGUAUGGAGGUGGCAUGGACGCAUGGAGCAGCAUGGUGCGGAUGGUGUUGUUGGUAGUGCGGAGCAUGCGUUCAGCCUUGCCGUUUUGUGGUGAGGUAUAGGGGCAGGAAAGGCGGAGAGUGAUGCCGUGGCUAGCAAGGAAGGAAGUGGUGGCGCGGUUGACAAACUCGGUCCCAUUAUCGGCUUGGAAGGAUUUAGGUGUGGUACUAAACUGGGUCUGGGCGUAUGCAAUGAAUUCAAUCAUGUGGCGGUGCACCUCAGAUUUGUGACGUAGUGGGAAGGACCAGCAGUAAUGGGAAUAAUCAUCGAGUAUAAUAAGGUAAUACUUGAACCCAGAAUUGCUAAGCACGGGAGAUGUCCAUACAUCGCAGUGAAGUAAAUCAAGCGGAGCAUGAGUAACAGAUGUCGAGUGACUAAAUGGAAGGCGCACAUGCUUGCCAAGUUGACAGGCAUGGCAGAGGCAUGGCGAGCUUUUAUUGAAGGAAAUGACCGACAUGCUUCGAAGUUUGGCGAGGCUGGAGGGACCGGGGUGGCCGAGGCGAUGAUGCCACAAAGACGACGUGGUGGCGAGGCUGCAGGAGGGAGUUGUGGUGGAGGGGUAGGUGUAGAGGUCGCCACCACUGUUGCAGCGAAGAGUCACUUGCCCCGUCUGUUUGUCCUUGACAGAAAAACCAUAAGCGUCAAAUUCAAUUGAACAAGAGUUGUCACAAGUGAAUUGACGAACAGAUAAAAGAUUGCGCACAAGUGCAGGUGCAACAAGAACAUUGUUAAGACGAUAGGUAGAGGUGGGGGAGGAUAGUGUAGAUGUGCCACGACAGGUAAUGGGUAUGGUGGUGCCAUUUCCAACGGUGAUGCCGAAUGAAGGAGGGGGGAGAUGGGACAGGAGUAUACCAGCCGAAGAGGACAUGUGAGCUGUGGCGCCAGUGUCGAGGACCCAAGGGGAGGACCCCUGGAGGGACAUUUGAUUCAGUGCGGCGAUGAGGCCAGCCUGAUCCCAACCGCCCUGCGCUGCCAUAGGUGGAGCAGGGUUGUCGGGGGACUGAACAGGGGCGAGCGCAGUGUGCGCCUGAGCCUGAGUGUAGGGGCCGAGGAUGCCAGGACUGCGCCAGGCAGGGGUUGGCGCCGACGGGCGCCAGGGCUGCUGAUGAACCCCGGCGGUCCAAGGGGGGUAGCAGUACCAGGGGGCGGCUGGGAACCUGGGACCGCCAGAGUGAGGGCCGCCCUUGCCCUUCUUCUUCCAGCGGCCGCCGCCACCACCUGGGUUGCCGCCGCUGCUGGAGCCACUGUCGUGACCGCCCUGUCUACUGGCAGUGGAGCCGCCGCCGUUGGUGGUGGGGUGGUGCGGCAGUUGGUACCGCACGAUGCGUGGAGUGCUGUCUGGGCCGCAACCGUGCCUUCAUUGGCGAGGCGGAGUUCCUUCAGCACGAGCUUCUCGCGAGUGGUGGCGAAGUCCGACAGCGGGUGGGAGUCGGCAAUAUUGUCGGCGGUGCUGGCGAAACGUGGGUUGAGGCCGCGGAGGAGGUUGAGGACGAGCUCCGCGUCGGUGAUGGUGCGGCCGACAUCACGGAGCGCGUCGGCGGUGGCCUUCAUACGUUGGGCAUAGUCAUUGAUGGAGGAGUCGCCCUGAGUCAUCGAGUGAAACUCGUGGCUUAGGAAGAUGGCGCGUGGAGCCUUGUUGGCCUCGAAGAGGCGCUUGAUGGCGACCCAGAGCUCACGCGCAGUCUGGUUUGGAGCCGCGGCGAGGCCGAUGACGUCGGGCCCAGCCGAGCCGAGAAGCCAGCUGCGGACGCAGGCAUCGGCGAUGCCCCAAGAAGGAUCUGUGGGACGGGCUUCCUGCAGUCCGUCGAUAUGCGAGAGGAGAGCGAAUUUUCCACAGAGGGAGGUGAAGAAUGGUUCCCACUGGUUGAAGUUGGGUUUUGCCAGUUCAAGAGUCACCGGGAUGUGGUUCUUGACAUUGAUCGUCGCAUAGGGGGCGACAAUCACAGCGGGGGCAGGAGUGGUGGCGUCGGUCAUGGUUAAGGAUGUAAAUGGUCGGUAAAAUCCGGUAAAUUUCCGGUACCGUUUACCAGAUUUUUCCGGCCGUUUUCAGAUUUAUCGGGAUAUACGGAAAACGGGACGGAAACAGAAUAUGUUUUGUCGGAAACGGUACGGUAAACGGUGAGACAUACUUACCGUCCGUUUUCGUAUUUCUCGGGAAAAUCCGGUAUGUUCCCGUAUUUUUCCCGUAUUUUCCCGGCCCACGUAUUACAUUGCAUCCACGUUCCCAUGGACAUGCCAUCAGCCAUCAGCCCAUCCCACGGCCAUGGCCCAUGGGCCCAUGUUGGCCACAUGCCCACACGGCCACGCAAGGCACUCACGCAUGAGACACCGGACACAGGACACAGCCGCCGCCUGUUCGUGUUCCUUCCUGUCCGAGUCUGCGAGUGGCUGAGUCGGCGAACGGAGAGGCGUCUCCGGAGUCCGGACUGCGGCUGUGGACAGCGACGCUGUGACGGCGACUCGGCGAAGCCCCAAGCUGCUAAGCCCCCAGGUCCCAUCCAUCUCUGUCUCUCUGGUCAUCUCCUUCCCCUGGUCGAUCUGCAGUCGCCAGCCGCCAGGUGCUCCAUCGCCGACCAUCCAUAAACUCGCCACUGCCACAGCGGUCCGGUCAGGAGGGGCGGCAACAGGAACCGUGGCUCGCACACACUUACUACACUUACUUUGCUACACUUACUACUGAUUUUGUUUGUAAUUAUACAAGAUUUUCUUGUACUAAAAUUUGAGUGGACAUGUAUAAGUGUAUGGCCAAUUAUAUGUGGACAAGAUUAUGUUUUGUGUACUUUUGUGAAUGAGACUUGUAUGUGGCUGUGAAUGAACAAUUGUGUGGUUAGGAUUUGUUUUUUUGGAUCUUUUCCGAUUACAAUUACCGUUUCCCGAUCAAUUCCGAGCUAUCUUGCUCGGAUUUAUCUGUUUUCGAUAUACCGGAAUUUACCGGUCGUUAUCCGUUUCCGACUUUCCCGUUUACCGAUUCCGGCCGAAGAAAAAAUUAUGCGGGUGAAAACGGUGACAGGUUUUUUCCGACCGUUACCGACCGUUUUCACCCUUAGUCAUGGUGACCAGGGGGGAGGAGGUGCGGCGCAGCAGGGAGGAGUUGGCGCUGCGCACAGCAGGGAGAUGGGCGCAGGAUCUAGAGAGCUGAUACCAUGUAGAAAGGGGAAGAAUGGAUUGAAUCACCACACACCCAUUGAGGGUGGGGAGCCUGUUAUAUAUAGCCAAUAGGCAUGCAUGGAAGGUACAUGUAGGGAAGGCUAUUCCCUGUACAAGGAAACAGACCUAGGCUAUAGAUAGAAGGUAAUCCUAGUCUAUACAAGGCAGCUAGCCAAUCUAGGGGAUUACAAUCAAUUGCUAAUCAGGCUCUGAUUGAUCCUGAUAGAUACAUAUCCUAAUAGCUGAUCUUUGGUGCAUGGUAAAUAUAAAAAUUGCAAGAGGAAACUAAUGGAUCAAAUCUUAUAUAAAUAUCACUAGAUUUAAUAGAAAAAACAUUAUAAACUAUAAAGUAAAUUUAAAACAAGGAAAUCAAAUAUCCGGGGAUGACAUAUCAAAACAGGAUGCAUAUAUCAGUCACAUGCUGAAUGAUUACACAAAACAUAAUCGGUUAUCUCUCAUAGUCCUAAGACAAUAUCACACCCAACAUCAUGGGGGCAUAAAUUUGUUAUAGUAGAAUCUUCUGAAAACAUAAAUGUAUUUAGGCAACGGAGAGCAGUUUUAAACUCUUGGGAUGUGGUGUAAGAGCAGAACUACUGUAGCCAUUUAGCCAAGCAUACUCUGCUGCCAUGUUUGGACUUCGGAAUAUAUCUGUUUCCCCUAUUACAGACUUAGCAAAGCUCAUUGGUUUACAACAUGCAAGGGAACAACUAAAAAGCUAAACGAAAUAAAUGAACAUACAGCAUUUUAGUCCAUGCCCCAGAAGGACAACAAUUAAUGUAAAACAAAGCAAAAAUGAAAUAAAAUAUCAUGAAGCUCAAUGUGCCACUACUAAAACAGGAUAGCAUGGAUAAAAACCUUGCAAACAUAUAAUCUUGUGAUACAAAUAUAUGACAAGCAGAUUAAACUUUUAGAAUAAUAGUAAAAGUGUAAAACUACGCAGCAAUUAGACACAAAGUAACAAGCAUGCAUGAAACAGAAGGAAAAUGUUUUGUCAUGUAAAUAGAUUCUGGUGCCAAAAUAGUAAAUCUUGAUGCUCUAAAUGUAUGACUUAAGAACACAGUCCAAGUAUUAGAUCAGAAAAGACAAUGAACAUAGAUGACUUACCCAGGACAUGCAAUCAUAAAUCGCUAAGAUCGAAUAGAGACUUCCACCAGGGCAGUUAAGAUAUAUCUGACAAAAAGAAUACAAAUUAUACAAAAUAUGGUAGAAGAACAUAAAGAACAACAAAGAACAAACGGGUCUGAUAGAACUCCAGCAGAAUAAGAAUGCAUACACUAACCAGAAUAUCAGCCUCUUCAUCGAUGGCAGCAAGUGUUACAAGCUGUGAUAUCACACGUUGGGCCACCUGGGAGUUAAUAUAUUGGCCAAUGAAGAUUAUACGAUUUCCCAGUAGUACAGUUGCGAGAUCAAGCGCACCACCAGGAGUCAUGAUUGCCGGCAUUAAAGGUGGAUUUUCAUUCUCAGAUGCCACUAUUGUAUUUUGCCUAUACAAAAUCAUUGAUCGUGUUACAAUGAAAUCCUAACAUAUGCAAUAUUAUUCAAAGUGAAUGGCCUCAAUAAAAAACAGACAGGUUGCUUAGCAGCCCGAUACAUAAUGGUAGUUACAAAUAUGUAACUGAGAGAAGAAUGACAGCAUAUCCUCUCAGCCUGCUGUGACAAAAAACCAUGUGACACAAAUUGCAGCCCUAUGUGCAUAUAAUUUGAGUGAGAUAGGAAUUCAACAUAUCACAAGAAAAUAAUAAUGCAAAAGCAUGCUAAGUGAACGUGGAAAUACCAUACCUAAAAGGAAUAGACAAAAUUUGGUUGGAAGUAUGACCAAUGCAAUAUUGGCAUUACUGUACUUACUAUCAUGCUAAAAAGUCAAGCUUUGCAUCUUCAGGCAAGAACGUAGAGCUAUAAGGUCGUGCCUAACAUAAUUAAUAAAUUAAUGUAAAUAUAACGUGAAAGUCACAUUCAACUACAUUGUAUCGUUCCUGUUUUCUACUGGCCAAAAUGCUUAUAGGGUGGCGAAAUGUUCUAGUAAUGCAGCAUGAAUUAUGGUAUAAUCCCAGCACCUGCUCAAUGCUCCUACCUAUGAGACUCCUGCAAUGGACCAAUGGAGACUCCAUCAAACAAAGAUUGAUAAAUAAGUAAGCAACUGGACACUUCACACAACCAAACAAUCCCAGACUACACAACCAAUCUGCAAUACCCACGACAACUGUUUUUUUGCAAGACAACAAUUGUGCUAACAUAAGAACGUCACCAGCAAUACAACCCUGCAGCCCUAAUCUCUUACUUGUCCCAUUCAUAAAACCAAGUUGUCUUGCCUGGUCGACUCAUCCUUCCCUGGGUGGUUUGGUUCUAUCCAAUUCGAUUUGUAAUAGGUUAUAAAAGGGGCAAGAGAUCCUAGAACGAGAUGCAAAAACAGUGCGCGGAAAGCUCACCUCGGGGACCAAGGCGUGGUUUGGCUCCAUUCCGGUUACAAGAAAACCCAGGUAGGAGGUGAGGGUGAGAUUGGGCGGAAAAACGGAGGAGAGACGGGGCCGGCAAGGGGCCAGAGGGGGCGACAAGGGGCCAGAGGGGGCUACACGGACGGCGAGCGGGACAGAGAUGGUGGGGAUAGCCAUGGCCGCGUCUGGAGGCGGAGAUGGGGAGCUGAAGAGAGUGAAGAGCUGCCUGGACUCUAGGAGGGAGAGGGAUAUGAUGAGGUUGGACUCGAGCUCGCUGAUUCAUGUGGGUUGCAAUUUUGAGGGGCAACAUAUCCUGUGCUCAAACAUGUACCAUGCUCAUAUGCACAUAUUAAAUCUGGUUCAUCCAUCCCACAUCCAAUGGCAGCCUUCAAUUUUACAAAAAAACACAGACUGUCUGGGAUACUCGAACGGUCUGUGCGUAUAGCCGAACAGUCCGAGCAUGCAUGUUAACCCUUGCGAUGAGUACGGUGGACCUAGUGUAGCUCUAGGUGGUUCGUCGUAAAGACCAGAACCAACUGCUGGUGGGCCGGACGGUCCGUGAUCAGGCCCGAUCGGUCCGGUCGUGCGCAGUGCCGCGAGUUUGACCCGAAUUGGUGGGGGAGGUUGUGGUUGCCCGACAUACGAGUUCAUUGGCAUAUACCAUAAGAUGUUUGGGUUUAUGAAUACCCAUUUGUAGCCGACAAGUUCAUCUAUAUAAUGUCUAAGAGAUUGGAUGUCGUUUGUUUUACUUACAUGGUGGGUUUGCGACGAUGGUAGGAGAGAUGACAUCUCAAUCUCCCCUGCUUGACGAUAUUUUGGUUUCAAUCCAUCAUGAAGUGCGCCAUGUACUUCGAUGUCACCUCUUCUUGCACCUUGUUCAUGUAGUCUUGAAAUCGUUGUUGCUCGUUAGCCGGCAAGUUCUCGAGAGUCGGCUUUAUGAUGUUGCUUGGGGAAACAUCGGUGCGAUCCUUUGAACUGGCCACCUAUGGCCGAUCUUGAUAGAUCUAGAACACACGGUGUCCCAGCGGAGUCACCAAAAAGUAUGUUGGCUCCGAUUCGGGGCCAAACACUAGGGGUGAACCUCCUGGCGGUGCUCUCUGGGAGUGCGCGGACGAUCCAAGACUAAGGGGAGAACGGCCUACAACCUCGCUGCAGGAGCGACUCCUCUCUACCCAGCACCGGAUAGUAAGCGCAUAGGGUCGGACUAUCCGCGACGGUGCAGAGCGUCUUCUUUGCGGUGAAAAACCCUAGAUCUCGCCUCCCGGAUCCCGGGACCCCGUCGGGGAGGAGAGUUCCAAGGGUGCUUCGGGGUCGGCAGGCCACCCAGGGCGUCCCUAGACGGCGUAGAGACGGCUAGAGAUGAAGGAAUAGGUCGAUGAAAACAAAUACUAUGGCUAAAUUACCGCUACUCCUAAGGCAAGAAAGUAAAGGAACUGUUAAAUAGAUUGAUUGGAUCGAUUGUAGGUGCCCACAAUCGGUCGUACCCCUUUAUAUUUAUAGGGGGGUUUGGACCCGUUCCUAGGCGUUUCCCAACAGGUUCCCGCGUGAUUAGCGGAUAAGCACGCGUGGAAAAGGAACUUUUACCCAAGAGCUAACCUAAUCACGGACUGUCCGGGCAAUACCCGUGACUAUCCGGCCGUCCCCAGGUGCCACAAAUGGUGCUCAACACUUACACAUCGAAUCAAACAUUAUGUGUGUCAACCAUUGCAAUCUAUUAGAAAGGUGCACAGAUUUAUAUCUCAAUCUAGUUUGCUAGGUCGCAAACCUCAGAGUCAAAAAACUAAGCAUACCAUAGAGAAAGUCAUACAAUUGCCAGCAGCCACUAAAUCAUUUGACAGACCGUGGAAUUUGCAAUUGCCUGAGGAUUAAAUAACAUGACUAAGCAAGUGAGGGGUAACCAAGAGCUGUGAGCAAUUACUUGUGGACUGCUGGGGUUAGAAGCGCAGCCUUGCCCUUGGGAAGCAAGGAGUUGCGGUAGAAUCCAGCUCGCACCUUCAUUGUAUCCCCUUUCUUCCCCACCUCUUCUAUGUCAUCUGUCAAUAUGACCUAUGGGAAAGAAUUGUUUUUUUUUUCACGAAAAAGGUAAAUCACUUAUAAUGCUAAGGGUGGCGAUAAUAGCUGCACAAGAUGAGCAGGUAAAAUACAGCUCAGUGCUGUACCACAUUGUCAAUUUAACUAGAUGCACCGUUGUUGCAUUCUUGUACAGUCAGGCAAUCACAGCAACAGGAACGACUUAUGUACAGAACUCCAUCUACUGAGGCAAGGCUCUCCCUAGUAUCGAUGGCGGUGCAUCAGUUUAGAGAAGGAAACUAAAACGCAGCAAGUAUUUCCCUAACAUGAACCGGGUUUCUCAUCGAACGGUUAUGAACGGGGACUCACCGUUCCAUGCCCUCAGCAACCCGCGUGCACUAACUGAUGACUAAAAUGGAAUCAGCACAGAACAGAAGAACACGCGGGAAGAAAGGUUGGGGGGGGGGGGGGGGGGGGGGCGAAUCUAUCUAUAGGCUCUUGACGGGCGGGGAUUCGCGGAGCCGGGCCGACCUGAGGGUGUUUCUUCACCUUCCCCUGGGCGACGAUGACCAGCGACGGAGCCCGGCGAGAGGCCGUGAGGCGGCGGUCCGCCGAGGGCCGCGGGGAGGAGGCGGGGGUCCAGGGCAGCGUGGAGGCGCACGACAGCGACGCCAUUGCUCUCGCGCUUCGCUACUCAAGCAAGUGGCGCUUCGGUCGCCUCCUCCGCUCGCACCGCUUUCCUUUCUUAUCCAUCCACUGACUUCGCGAGAGGCCUAAAUAAUGGUUUGGGCCCGGAAAUGAGAAAGCGGCGGCGGCGGCCCAAUCGAUCUGGAAUGGAUAAUGUCACGGCUCCGUAGAGCCCGUUUCACAGCUUCUCUCGCCUGUCGCGCUGCGUCCAUGGCGGGAGCCUGCGCGGUCGCCGUGCCCGGAUCCAGCCGCGUGAACUGCCGGCGUGAUAGCCCUUUCUCGAAACUGAGAAUUCGAUAUCACCGAAACGUAUUUCUAAUAAAUAGUUCCAUCGCAUCUUGUAAGUUGGAUAAGUUUGCAAUUCGAUAUCGGUGAAUUUGAUUAAUCCAAAACCUCAAGUACAGUGUUUGUCUAGUCCCGGGGUUUGGGAUCAGCAUCCCACAGCUUCAGACUUCUACGCCGCUUGCCAGACUGAAAAGGACUCCAACUACAUAAAAAUAAUUGCUUGGCAAGAAUGACAAGGGACCAACGCCGCGACGAUAUUAGUUGACAACUUUCACUCCCUCGGUUGCCACUCAGCCUGAAAAUCUUGCAGCUCUCCAAUAAAACGAAUAUACGAGCUCGUGGGGACCCCCAAUGAAUCUAAGAACUUUGAUUGGACUACAGCACCAUGUAAGACAAUCUUCUAUCCUGCAGUAAAUAUUUACAGCCUACAGGUUGUCGUUCAGCCACUUCGCAGCGCCAUUAAC